CCUACGGGAGGCAGCAGUGAGGAAUAUUGGUCAAUGGGCGCGAGCCUGAACCAGCCAAGUCGCGUGAGGGAGGACGGCCCUACGGGUUGUAAACCUCUUUUGCCGGGGAGCACCGGUCGUCACGUGUGGCUCCACUGAUAGUACCCGGAGACAAAGCAUCGGCUAACUCCGUGCCAACCGCCGCGGUAAUAUGGAGGAUGCGAGCUUUAUCCGGAUUUAUUGGGUUUAAAGGGUGCGUAUGCGGGUCGUUAAGUCAGUGGUUAAAUUUAGGGGCUCAACCCCUGCCCGCCAUUGAAACUGGCGUGCUUGAGUGGAAGAGAAGUAUGCGGAAUGCGUGGUGUAGCGGUGAAAUGCAUAGAUAUCACGCAGAACCCCGAUUGCGAAGGCAGCAUGCCGGCUUCCGACUGACGCUGAAGCACGAAAGCGUGGGGAUCGAACAGGAUUAGAUACCCCAGUAGUC
rnacentral:rRNA from 1 species